CAAUUACGAAGUUCAGUAGUGAAUCUAACUUUUAUUUAUUUAUUUAUUUAUGUUGGAUUACUAGGAUCAUUUAGGUUGAUUUAAGGACGGCUUUAAUGAUGCGAUAGCUAGUAUAAAUAACCGUGUUUGUUUAAUUAUAUCCUGGAAACUAAAAAGGGUGAUGUUCAGCACAUGAAGCCCUACAGAUGCCGCCGCUUCAACAAUGCUGAUUAUGAUGGGCGGUCAAUUUAACCUGUCCUCCACAGUCGCCCCAUCAGUCCCUGGCAGUCUGGUCCCUGGAGCAGCUGGCCCUGGCAAAGUUAUUCCUUCACUGUUGACCCCUGACUGACUGGCCCUCGGCGCACACAUCCCUGGAUCACCUGCCCCUGGAUCACCUGCCCCUGGAUCACCUGCCCCUGGAUCACCUGCUCCUGGCAAAGUGGCCUCUUGAUUGCUCUCUCUGUCUCCUGUCAUGUCCUUUUCAUCGCUCUUGAAAUCCACCUAAAUUUCUCCAUCAAUCUCUGUAACAAUUACAAGGUAAUGUUGCUGUUAUAUGUAUUUUGCAUUUGCAACUACUGUCAUCUCCAAUGUAAGGCAAUGUAAGAAAAUGUAUUAGAGCGAAACAUUUCUGUAAUGUGAAUUUAAUCAUCUGCCACAAUCAGAAACCAAUAAAAUGUAUAAAUGGAUCUACCGGCAAUUGUUGAUUGGGUAGAAAUGUGUCGAUUAUCUACAUUGUGUGCAAAUCCUCAGAGAAUCCCUGACCUCUGGUUGUUUUUUGAACUGAAUGUACAAAUAUGAAUUAUGUAAUCUCAUUAGGAGUGUAGUCUAUCCUUGAAUUACAUGAAAUGGGGAACUUUGAAUAUUUGGCCUGUUAAGCCCUUUGAGACUGUAAUGGUGAUUAAGGGCUAUACAAAUAAAAUUGAAUUAAAUAUUGUUA